rnacentral:rRNA from 1 species
UACGUAGGGGGCAAGCGUUGUCCGGAAUCACUGGGCGUAAAGGGCGCGUAGGCGGCCUGAUAAGUAGGGGGUGAAAUCCUGCGGCUUAACCGCAGGGCUGCCUUCUAAACUGUCAGGCUUGAGCACAGUAGAGGCAGGUGGAAUUCCCGGUGUAGCGGUGGAAUGCGUAGAGAUCGGGAAGAACAUCAGUGGCGAAGGCGGCCUGCUGGGCUGUUGCUGA